GAUUAACGCUGGCGGCGUGCAUAACACAUGCAAGUCGAACGAUGAAACUUUAAUGACCCCUUCGGGGAGAAUUAAAGCGGAUUAGUGGCGAACGGGUGAGUAACGCGUGAGUAACCUGCCUUACACAAGGGGAUAGCCUUUGGAAACGAAGAAUAAUACCCUAUAAAACCAUAAAAGCACAUGCAAUUAUGGUCAAAGUGAUAGCGGUGUAAGAUGGACUUGCGCCUGAUUAGCUGGUUGGUGAGAUAAAAGCCCACCAAGGCAACGAUCAGUAGCCGGCUUGAGAGAGUGUACGGCCACAUUGGGACUGAGACACGGCCCAGACUCCUACGGGAGGCAGCAGUGGGGAAUUUUGCACAAUGGGGGAAACCCUGAUGCAGCGACGCCGCGUGAUUUAGAAGGCCUUCGGGUUGUAAAAAUCUUUUGUAUAGGAAGAAAAUGACAGUACUAUACGAAUAAGGUCCGGCUAAUUACGUG
rnacentral:rRNA from 1 species